GUAGGGUGCGAGCGUUAAUCGGAAUUACUGGGCGUAAAGCGUGCGCAGGCGGUUGUGCAAGACAGAUGUGAAAUCCCCGGGCUUAACCUGGGAAUUGCAUUUGUGACUGCACGGCUAGAGUGUGUCAGAGGGGGGUAGAAUUCCACGUGUAGCAGUGAAAUGCGUAGAUAUGUGGAGGAAUACCGAUGGCGAAGGCAGCCCCCUGGGAUAACACUGACGCUCAUGCACGAAAGCGUGGGGAGCAAACAGGAUUAGAUACCCUGGUAGUCCACGCCCUAAACKAUGUCUACUAGUUGUCGGGUCUUAAUUGACUUGGUAACGUCAGCUAACGCGUGAAGUAGACCGCCUGGGGAGUACGGUCKCAAGAUUA
rnacentral:rRNA from 1 species